UCCAGGAGAAAAAAAAAAAAAAAACAAAAAAAAAACGAGCUGAAGACAGCCUUCAUUCCAAGAGUAUUUUGGGCCACUGAUUUUUAUCACCCAGAAAUCAAUCAGAAGGGCACACAAUGCCUAGAAAUCCCAAACCAGCUACUACAUCUAAGAGGUUCAUGAAUGAAGGCCACGGUGUUUGUGAAUACAAGAGAAGAGAGGAAAUGUGUCUCGCUAGCAAAAUUCAAAGGAGAUGCCCAUCAAGAAGAAAACAAAAGCUUUCCUCUGACACCAUCUGGCAUAAGAAAGGUCUGAGUUAAUAGUAAAAUAGGAUCUUGUGCAUUUUA